rnacentral:lncRNA from 1 species
CAGGAGCCUGGAGAAGCCUGAAUAUGUUGGUGAGAAUCACAACCUGGAGUGCAUGGGGGUGGUCUCCUCACCAACCCUUGGCGCAGUGGGUUUCAUCUUCACCUUGAAGGAGAGCAGGCCAGACAAGAUCUCAGCACAGCUUCGCAACUGCAUCCACCCUCUCUUCUCUUCUAAGAGUUCACUUGGAAGGCUUGGCAAAACUCAGCUCUCAGGUCACUUCUGGCUUCCAACAUUCUAUAAAUGCUCUCAGAAAACAAAAGUCCAAGAGGAUUUCCUAUCCCCAGGACCUGGCCCAGGCUGAGAGAAGCUGUGUGGAGUGGAAGAUGGACAUUGAGGAAGAAGGGCAGGUGUGGUCUCACCCAGAAUGGUUCCUGCUGCUUCUGCGGUGCCCAGGCUUUUCUCACGGCCUCUGCUGGGUUCUCCCCUGGGUGCUGUGGAUGCAUCCUGCCUGCUGGAAAUUCUGUGCUCUCUGUUCCUAUCCUUUCGUUGUGGUAAUGACCAUAUGCCUCUCCCCUGUACCCUCCUCUGCCUGCUCUCCAUGCGGGCCCCUCUCCCUCUGGUUGUCCCAUCAGCAUUUCCCCACAGCUCGUUGUUCCUCCUUCCUCUUUUCUGGUGACCUUUCUACUGAUUGCAUUGUACCUCUUUC